GAUGAAGAACGUAGUGAAAUGCGAUAAGUAAUGUGAAUUGCAGAAUUCAGUGAAUCAUCGAAUCUUUGAACGCACCUUGCGCUCCUUGGUAUUCCGAGGAGCAUGCCUGUUUGAGUGUCAUUAAAUUCUCAACCUCACCCGUUUUCUGAACGGGUCGAGGCUUGGAUGUGGGGGUUUGUGCAGGCUGCCUCACUGGCGGUCUGCUCCCCUGAAAUGCAUUAGCGAGGUUCAUGCUGAACUUCCGUCUAUUGGUGUGAUAAUUAUCUACGCCGUGGACGAGGAUCAGACUCGCUUCUAACUGUCCGCGAGGACAAUACCUUGACAAUUUGACCUCAAAUCAGGUAGGACUACCCGCUGAACUUAAGCAUAUCAAUAAGCGGAGGA
rnacentral:misc_RNA from 1 species